GGGAGAGGAAGACCCAUUUGUACAAAAAUAUUUAAUAUAGUUUUUUUUUUUUGGUGAUGGAAAAGAAUUGAAAUUUAAGAGUGUGCUGAUGUUUUGGGAAAUGGCUAAACAAGUUGUGGUAUAUAAUAGUAGCAGAAUACUAUUGCACUAUAAGAAAUAGCGAGCAAGAUAAUUUCAGAAAAACCUGGAAAGACUUAGAUGAACGGAGCAAAGUGAAGUGAACAGAACCAGGAGAACGUUGUACACCAUAAUAGCAAUAUUGUACAAUCAUCAACUAUGAAAGAUGUAGCUCUUUUCUUUUUUUUUUUUUUGUUGUUGAUUCUAUUUGAAAUUUUUUUAAUUUAAUUUAAUUUUAUAAUAACUUUUUAUUGAUAGAAUCCAUGCCAGGGUAAUUUUUUUUUACAACAUUAUCCCUUGCAAUCCCUUCUGUUCCGAUUUUUUCUCCUCCCUUCCUUCACCCCUUCCCCUAGAUGGCAAGCAGUCCUAUAUAUGUUAAAUAUGUUGCAGUAUAUCCUAGAUACAAUAUAUGUUUGCAGAACCGAGAUAUAGCUCUUUUCAAAAAUGCAGUGAUCCAAGACAAUGCCAAAGGACUCUUGAUGAAAAAUGCUAUCCACAUCCAGAGAAAGAACUAGAUUGAAGUAUAUUAUUUUCACCUUAUUUUUUUGUCAUUUUCCCCCUUUCGGUCUGUUUCUUCUUUGAAACAUGAUUAAUAUUUAAAUUUGCUUGAAUAUGGAAUAAUAUGAUUGAACAUGUGAUCUAUAUCAAAUUGCUUAUACCACUUAGGGAGGAAGAAAGGGAUGGGGAGAGAAAGUUUGGAACUCACAAUUUUAAAAGGAAAUUCAAUGUUAAAAAUCAUCUUUACAUGUAAUUGGGAAAAAUAAAAAAAAGUUUAAAAAGGAAGUUGAUUCAGCUGGCUGAUACAAUUCACGAAAAGGAAUGAUGUAACGAGUCUGGAAAGAUAGGCUGGAUCCUAAUUGUGAAGGGCUUUAAAUGCCAAGGAAAAUGAUAUCUGAGCCAUCAAAUCCGAGUAAUGUGGCUAGGCUUGGGCUGUGUGGACGUUAGCUGGGAGAGGGGAGAUUCUGGAGGCAGAGAGUCCAAUGAGCAGGUUAUAGAAAUAGUCCAAGAAAGAGGGGAUGAGGUUGUGAACUAGAGGCUUUCAAGAUGAUUGGAUGUGAGGGUUGAGGUGGAAGCAGUAUCAGCCAGAUUUAGCAAGUGACUGGAGGUCGGGGGUGAUUCCAAGAUCUGGAACCUGAGUGAUUGAAAGACAGAAAUAGGAAAGUCGAGAAAACCCUCUGUAAAAUGAAAGGGGAUGGCAGUGAUCUUCAAGCACCUUCUAACUCUUUUCCCAUAAUGCUGUGAAUCCUAGUAAGAACGCCACAACUCCCAGGAGUUUUAUAAAAGGUCCAUGAUUGAGAAUGAUUGGGCUAGAUUAUCUGAAACUCCUCCCAGUUCCAAAUUUCAUAUUCCAGUGAUGGAUAAAUAUUAUGGAGGGCCCAAUUUAGACCUGAUAGAUUUUUUUUUCUUUUUCUUUUUGGUGAGGCAAUUAGAGUUAAGUAACUUGCCUAGGUUCACUCAGCUAGAAAAUGUAUCUGAGACCAGAUUUGAAUUCAGGUUCUCCUGACUUCAGGGCCAGUUCUCUGUCCACUAGCUGUCCCCAGAAAUAACAAUUUUUUAUUAUUAUUAUGGCUUUUUAUUUACAAGCUAUAUGAAUGGGUAAUUUUUCAGCAUUGACAAUUGCCAAACCUUUUGUUCCAACUUUUCCUUCCUUCCCUCCUCCCCCUUCCCCCAGAUGGCAGGUUGACCAAUACAUGUUAAAUAUGUUAAACUAUAAGUUAAAUACAAUAUAAGUAUACAUGUCCAAACAGUUGUUUUGCUGCCCAAGAAGAAUCAGAUUUUGAAAUAGUGUACAAUUAGCCUGUGAAAGAAAUCAAAAAUGCAGACGGACAAAAAUAGGGGGAUUGGGAAAUCUAUGUUGUGAUUCAUACUCAUUUCCCAGAGUUCUUUCACUGGGCAUAGCUGGUUCAAUUCAUUACUGCUCUUUUGGAACUGUUUUUGGUUCAUCUCAUCGUUGAGAGAGGGCCACAUCCAUCAGAAUUGAUCAUCAUAUAGUAUUGUUGUUGAAGUAUAUAAUGAUCUCCUGGUCCUGCUCAUUUCAAUCAGCAUCAGUUCGUGUCAGUCUCUCCAGGUCUUUCUGAAAUCAUCCUGCUGGUCAUUUCUUACCGAACAAUAAUAUUCCAUAAUAUUCACAUACCACAGAAAUAACAUUUUUUAAAAAACACUUAGAGCUAGAGAUAGCCCCUUGUUGGGGAUUUUAUAGCGAUGGUUUCUAGCCAGGAAUGAGUUGCACUCAUUGCCUCUGAGGGUCCUGUCCAGAUCUUGAGAUUAUGGCACAUGGGUCCUGAUUGACUAGGGAAUACUAGGAAGUCUUGGAGGAUUACUGGGGCUUGGGUGGAACAUCACCCUCCGUCUGAAUCAGCGAUUUGAGCCGGCAGCUGAGAAGGCUGCCCGAAAGAGGCGGUGUGUCCAGGAAAAAGGAAAUGAGUCUUGUGCUCUGCACCCUGCUCGGACCACAGAGGGAAUAUAGUGUUUCAGGUUUGAUGAAGGAAGUUUGUAAGCUGUGGGAACCAGAGGAAGCCCACCAGAGUGCUGCUGGGAGCUCCGCCAGUACUUGGGGGGGAACUCUGGGAAAGGAGGGGUUUGUUCCAGGGGACAGCCAAAACUGAGAGCAAGAGGAGAUAGUGGGAGUGCCUUCAGGGGGGUUCCUCCUUCUCCCCCAGAGAGAGGAAGGAGCAGAGUCUCCCAAGCAGUCUCCGAGCCAAGGCUGGGAGCCCCUGGAGUGUAGGAAAGUCUGUGGCGGGGCCUUCAUCCAACUGAGACUCUGUGAUUCUAUGAAAUAACAAUCAACGACCUCAACAUCCGCCGAAAGGGGCUUUCCCUGGCGAGGGAGGAAGGGCUCGGGGCUCCUGAGCCCUCAGUGCGGGCAGAGGCCGCGGAGAGGGAGGCAGGAAGAUGACUGACCGGCAGCGACACCCAUGGAGGCCCGUGACUUUGCUCUGGCUCCUCGCUACCCAGCUGCCCCCCGCCUCUCUGCAGUCGUGCGACAAGUUCUCCUACAGCGUAGAGGGCAAGUGCUGCAGCUAUUGUAAACCUGGUUUUGAGAUGGAGAGCCGCUGCACCAGUAACAGAGACACGGGCUGCAGACCCUGCCUCGAGGGGCUCUUCAAUGAGGGCUUCAGCAACGAAUUCUGCCAGCCCUGCACUCAGUGCAACGUCGGGAGCGGGAGCCGGGUCCUGAAGAACUGCACAAGGUCCAGUGACACCGUGUGUCAGUGCACCCCAGGGACGCAGCCGGCUCAGUUCUUCAAGUGGGGAGUGGAGUGCACCCCGUGUCCCCCAGGACACUUUUCUCUGGGAGAAAACACCAUGUGUAAACCGUGGACCAACUGCGUGGCCAUAGGCAGACGGACCCAGCGGCCCGGGAGCAGCAGAGCCGACGCCGGCUGCGAGGAGGCCCGUACGUCAGGGCCACACCCAUCCCCUCCCACGCCCACCCGGACCCCGGCCGCCAGCUCCCCGCCCACAGUGCCCUUGCGGCUCACCACCCAGAGCCUAGGGGUGCUGAGCACCCUCACGCCGCAGCCUGACAAACCCUGGUGUAAGGACGCCGCCCCCCUCCUCCCCUUGCAAGCCCUCCAGGCUGGGGGAGAGGGACAGAGCCCCCGGCGUCCAGUCCUGGCUCUGGGCUCUGUCUUAUCCCCUCUCCGGGAAUCCUCGUCUUUAAAAUGGGGAUCCUUCUCUUCGGUUCCUCUCGGCUCCCAAGGCCUCCUGGGCUGGACCUGUGGCCUUCCAAGGGGAUAGCAUAAAGUCUUCCCUUCCCAGCCACUUGCUUCUCCAGGGGAGCCUCCCCAGCAAGCCCCAAGGGCAGAGGGCUCAGGGCUGGGGCGCCUCCAUCACUAGUCCAGGGGAGCCUUCCCAGAAAACCCCGAAGCUCCGGGGUCCAGGGCAGAGGGCUCAGAGCUGGAAGGCAGCCACCUCCAUCCCUGGUCCUUCUCUUGCAGCCUCGUUCUCCAUCAUCUUCCUGGUGCUUUUUCUGCUCUUGGUAUUUGGUUUGAUUAUGUUGAUCCUGGGGAUCUACCUGUCCAGGAAGGACAAGAGGCAGCUGCCUACAAUUUGGAAGCCCUCAGGGCCAUAUAACUUCCGGAUGCCCAUCCAAGAGGAACACCAGUACAGCCUAGCCAAGGUCUGAGCCCCGGAGAGCACCCCUGGAGGUCAUCCCCAGGCCCUUCCUCCCAGGGCUGGCUGGACCCGCUUUGGGAAGGCUGCGGACCUCGGGGGCUUUGCGUCUUGCUUUCUCUCCUCCCCUCCCUCCAAGCUCCUCUUCCAGCAGCCCAGACUCCUAGACCCGGGCCUUGUUGGGUUUCCUCUGCAUCUCUUUCUGAAGGCGGCCACCGACAUCCAGUGAAGCGAGAAGUCCUCUAGUUCUAGGGGUUUUUCAGGGGCUCAGUCCAUACAAAGCCCCCAGUCUGAGAGCUGGAUGGAACUCCAGGACUGUUGUCCCAACCACACCCAGAGAAGUCCCCCGGUAACAUCUGAGCGAGGGGCGAGCUGCUCAUAGCCCACGGUGGUUCCCCAGUGGAAGGAGCGUGGCGUCUCACAGCUGGGGCUGGCGUCCCUGUGCUCUUGGAGGAAUCCCCUGGGCUUUCCUGCUUCCUCUUUUCCAAAAUGGGGAUGUUGGGUGAGAUGCCCUGGAAGGCCUCCCGGCUCUGCUGAGGGGCCUUUGAGAGUCACUAACCAUUUUACAAACAAACAGACCGGAGCUUCUCCCAUGGAAAGAUUCUCAGGGGCAGAGGCCUAAGGAAGAGCAUCCUCCCUCCUCCCAUCUUUCCUCAUUCCUUUCUCACCCCCAGAAUGAGCCCCAAUACCCCAUCCCUGCUUGUGGCUUCUCCAGUCCAGAUGCAGAUGGCUUCAGGGCCCUCCCUGCCUCUGCUGACCUGGCUCAGAAUGGGGGCUUCUCUGGCCUCCCUUCCUCUUCCUCCUUCUCCUCUUCCUCUUUCUCCCCUCCUCCUCCUCUUCUUCCUCCUUUUCUUUCCAUUACCUUGUUCCCCGAGGUCCCAGAUGCUGAUUCACAUUCACACUCACAGCCAUGUUCUUUACGGCCUUCUCCUCUUCCCAUUCAAAAAAGAGAGAGAACUCCGUGGUCAUUAGCCCACUCUCCAGACAUGGUACCCCUCUCUUCCCCUUGGACCUACCCCCAUUUCAAGUCUCUGACAUUUUGUCUGCCUUCCCUUCCCCCAAUGGCUGGCCACUCUCUCCAGUCCUACCUCCCCCUUCCCUGUUUCUGGACAUAACCCCCACUCUCUAUGGUAGCUGAGUCCUGAGCUGCUCAGGGUGGGAGAAAGGGACCAAAUGGGUCUGCCCUGAAUAUUCACCCCCAUGGGGUGUCCCGUCCUGUGGUUGGAGCCUUGAGUGGACCUUGGGUCUCCUUCCAGCGAGCUGAAUUUACCCUCUGAGGCCGAGUGGUGAAGGCUGAGAACAGCCCCUGCCUAGCGGCCUUGAUGCUGAUGUCUGCAGCUCUCCAUGUGGUUUAUUAUAUAAACUCUUGGGCCCAUGAGCAGGCCUGGAACCUGGGCCCAAAGGCUCUUUGCCCAGUGUGUGGAGUGAGGAGGUAAAAAGGAGGGGGAGACAGAGAGAUAGAGGAGAGAAGGAAGGAAAAAGAAAGGGAAGAGAAAAAAGAAAAGGAGGGAGAGAACAAGACAGAGAAAGAGAGAAAGGAAAGAGAAAAGGAGAGAGAAAGAAAAAAGAAAAGGGGAGAGAGAGAGACAGAGAAAGAGAGAAAGAAAAGAAAAGGAGAAAGAAAAUGAGAGAUGGAGACAGAGAAAGAGGACAGAGAAAGAGGACAAAGGGAAAAGGAGAGAGAAAAAAAAGGAGAAAGGGAGAGACAGAGUGAGAUAGAAAGAGGAGAGGAUGAGAAGAGAGAAAAGAAAGAGGAGAGAAAGAGAGAACAAGAGGGUGAGAGAGCACACCCAUGCUAUUGUUUUCUCUCUGUUCUCCUGCUGGCUUGCUGUGUGACCCUGCACAGCUUAUUCAGCCAGUACAACUCUCCUGUUUCUGUGCUGAGCUCCAAGCCCCCACGUCCCCACCUGGGCCCGUGCCCUCCUCCAUAUGCUUUGGGCAGUUGUUCAAGGCUUUCUUCCCUCCGUGGCGCUCUCCCAUCUCCACUGCACGUCCAUCGGCGUCAGGGUGCACUGUUUUAGGUGCCCCUUGUGGCAGGAUAAUGGGCUGGGAGUCCUCCUGGCAAAGCCUCCUUUCCGUGCUCCUUGCUAGUGGCCGGGCUAGACAGCCGUGUCCUAGGUUGUUCUGGGAGCCAUCAGGGGGAGGGGCGCUGGCCGUCUCUCCCUCCCUGUCCCUUUCCCCUCUCCCCAUCCCUCCAUCACACAGUGCUCACUAGCAAUGGCUUCUUUGUGAGAGGCAGGCAAGUGUAGUGGGAGGAUGGUAGGAUGCACUCGGAGUCCAGAAGCCCUGGAUUCAAAUUCUGACUCAGACACACAUUAGCUCUGUGAUAUCUGUGAUAUCUUGACCAGAGCAGGUUGGUCUGUCUUACUGAGUCUCAGUUUCUUCCUCUAUAAAAUGAGAAGAAUAAUAGCACCUAUCUCACAGGAUCAUUGUGAGGGCCAGAGAAAACCAUCCAGGGAAGCACUUGCCAGCCUGGACCUGUGAGCUGUUAUUUACUGUUAGUGAGUGCCAUAUUCCCAUUCUGCCUGUCCGCCCCUGACUUAGUCUUCUCGCCUCUAAAAUGGGUAAUUAUUUCCUUAGUCCUGAUUUGAAAACCAGCAAUCACAAUAACAAAUAACAAUAACAAAAUAAGAGUCUCUGGCUACUUCUCCCCCCACCCCAACCCUCAGGUAAAAUCAAAAGAAGUCAUGUUUGUGAAAUCAGUAUUGUUUACACAGAUGAGUCAAUGGAAAAUUAUGGCGCUGCAAUUCAAUAAACAUUAAGUCCCUUCUGUA